rnacentral:tRNA from 1 species
CAUUAAGUGGCUGAAAAUUAAGCAUUGAUCUCUUAAAUCAAACCAUAAUAUAUUAAAUAUUCUUAAUGA